rnacentral:rRNA from 1 species
UUCCGGUUGAUCCUGCCGGAGACCACUGCUAUCGGAGUCCGACUAAGCCAUGCGAGGCAUUGCCUUUUAGGGCAAGCCGAACUGCUCAGUAACACGUAGCUAACCUGCCCUGAGGACAGGGAUAAUCCCGGGAAAACUUGGUCGUUGUUUUUCUCACGUUAUUGAUUACACUACAAGAUCAACGACCAAGUCCCGAAACUGGGAAUAAUCCCUGAUAGAUAAGGUGUGCUGGAAGGCCUCCUUGUCUAAAGGCUCGCUUCGGCGAGUGCUUCAGGAUGGGGCUGCGGCGGAUUAGGUUGUUGUCAGGGUAACAACCUGACAAGCCGAUAAUCCGUACGGGCCUUGAGAGAGGGAGCCCGGAGAUGGGUUCUGAGACAUGAACCCAGGCCCUAUGGGGCGCAGCAGGCGCGAAACCUCUGCAAUGCGUGAAAGCGCGACAGGGGGACUCCGAGUGCCCUCUGUUCUACAGGGGGCUUUUGCCGAGUCCAAACAAAUUGACGGCUUUUGCCGUCUCUUUUGGUUAGCUCGGCGAAUAAGGGGUGGGUAAGACCGGUGCCAGCCGCCGCGGUAAUUCGAAGAAACACUUUGGCGUUUCUUCGAACCGCAAAUACCGGCGCCCCGAGUGGUGGUCACGGUUAUUGGGCCUAAAGCACCCGUAGCCGGCUUGGUAAGUUCUCAGUGAAAUCCUCCUGUUAACAGGAGGAAUUGCUGGGAAUACUACCAGGCUAGGGACCGGGAGAGGCCGGGGGUACUCCCGGGGUAGGGGUAAAAUCCGUUAAUCCCGGGGGGACCACCUGUGGCGACACCAAGAAGUAAGCAAUUUCAUAAAAUAUCUUGCUUCUUGGUGCCGUAGAAGGCGCCCGGCCAGAACGGUUCCGACGGUGAGGGGUGAAAGCCAGGGGAGCGAUCGGGAUUAGAUACCCCGGUAGUCCUGGCCGUAAACGAUGCCCACUUGGUGUUGUACCUCCUUUGGGGAGGGGCAGCGCCGGAGGGAAGCCGUUAAGUGGGCCGCCUGGGGAGUACGGCCGCAAGGCUGAAACUUAAGGGAACUGGCGGGGGAGCACUACAAGGGGUGGAGCCUACGGCUCAAUUGGAGUCAACGCCGGG